rnacentral:rRNA from 1 species
ACGGAAGGCAGCAGUGAGGAAUAUUGGUCAAUGGGCGCGAGCCUGAACCAGCCAAGUAGCGUGAGGGAUGACUGCCCUACGGGUUGUAAACCUCUUUUGUUUGGGAAUAAAGGAGCCUACGUGUAGGCUUUUGCAUGUACCUUUCGAAUAAGCAUCGGCUAAUUCCGUGCCAGCAGCCGCGGUAAUACGGAAGAUGCGAGCGUUAUCCGGAUUUAUUGGGUUUAAAGGGAGCGUAGGCGGCCUUUUAAGUCUGCGGUCAAAUGUCAGGGCCCAACCUUGGCAUGCCGUGGAUACUGAUGGGCUUGAAUACACGCAAGGCAAGUGGAAUUCGUCGUGUAGCGGUGAAAUGCUUAGAUAUGACGAAGAACUCCGAUUGGGAAGCCAGCUUACUGUAGCGCCACUGACGCUGAUGCUCGAAAGCGUGGGUAUCGAACAGGAUUAGAUACCCUGGUA